GUGGAGUUCUAAAAGCAGAGAGUAGUCAUUACUGACAGGUGGAGUUCUAAAAGCAGAGAGUACUCAUAACUGACAGGUGGAGUUCUAAAAGCAGAGAGUACUCAUUACUGACAGGUGGAGUUCCAAAAGCAGAGAGUACUCAUUACUGAUAGGUGGAGUUCUAAAAGCAGAGAGUACUCAUUAUUGACAGGUGGAGUUCUAAAAGCAGAGUACUCAUUACAGAUAGAUGGAGUUCUAAAAGCAGAGAGUACUCAUUACUGACAGGUGGAGUUCUAAAAGCAGAGUACUCAUUACAGAUAGGUGGAGUUCUAAAAGCAGAGAGUACUCAUCACUGAUAGGUGGAGGUCUCCUCUCCUUUUCCUGAUGUUGCUGACCUGCUCAAUCUGCCACAUAAUGGCCCAGGGUGGUUCAGUCUGUGAUAGAAAGCCAAGGACAAAUAGCCACAAACAUCUGGCCUAGCAGCAGCCCUGGGCUGCCCCUGGCCACAACACCUUCUACCCAUCCGCACCAGGAACCACUGAUGUUGUGCUCCAGGACCCCAUUACCAUCAAAAUUUGAUUUUUCAUCUCCAAGGGCCCAACAAGUGAAUGGUUUUCAAUUUAGAAGCACCGGGCAAAAACAAUUACAUCACUAAUUUGAACGAUUUGUGAG